rnacentral:lncRNA from 1 species
ACAAACGUAUGUUGUUAUGCGGUCUGACCGAUAAAGAUCUUCGUAGAAUAUGUAGGAACCAAUAUGGGCAUCCAGGUCCCGCUAUUGGUUAUUGACCGGAGACAUGUCUCGGUCAUGUCUACAUUGUUCUCGAACCGUAGGGUCCGCACGCUUAAGGUUUCGAUGACGGUUAUUAUGAGUUUAUGUAUUUUGAUGUACCGAAGGAGUUCGGAGUCCCGGAUGUGAUCACGGACAUGACGAAGAGUCUCGAAAUGGUCGAGACAUAAAGAUUGAUAUAUUGGACGACUAUGUUCGGACAUCGGAAUGGUUCCGAGUGAUUUCGGAGAAAACCGGAGCGCCGGAGGGUUACCGGAACCCCCCCCGGGAGAAGUAUUGGGCCACAUGGGCCUUAGUGGAAAGAGAGAGGGGCGGCCAGAGCUGGGCCACGCGCCCCCUCCCCUCUGGUCCGAAUUGGACUAGGAGAGGGGGGCGGCGCCCCCCUUUCCUUCUCCCUCUCCCCCUUCCUUUCCCCCUCCUAGUAGGAGUAGGAAAGAGGGGAAUCCUACUCCUACUAGGAGGAGGAUUCCUCCUCCUGGCGCGCCUAGCAAGGACCGGCCGGCCUCCCCCCUUGCUCCUUUUUAUCCAGGGGCAGGGGGGCACCCUAGAACACACAAGUUGAUCCUUGAGAUCGUUCCUUAACCGUGUGUGGUGCCCCCCUCCACCAUAUUCCACCUCGGUCGUAUUGUUGCAGCGCUUAGGCGAAGCCCUACGAUAGUAGAACAUCAAGAUCGUUACCACGCCGUCGUGCUGACGGAACUCUCUCCCCGGAGCUUUGCUGGAUCGGAGCCCGAGGAGCGUCACCGAGCUGUACGUGUGCCAAGAACUCGGGGGCGCCGGAGUAACGGCGCCGGGAUCGGUUGGAUCGCGAGGAGAACGUACGACUACUUCCUCUACGUUGUGAUCGCUUCCGCUUCAGGUCUACAAGGGUAUGUAGACAACACUCUCCCCCUCGUUGCUAUGCAUCACCAUGAUCUUGCGUGUGCGUAGGAAAUUUUUUGAAAUUACUACGUUCCCUAUCAGUGGCGUCCGAGCCUAGGUUUUUAUGGUUUGAUGUUAUAUGCACGAGUAGAACAAAAGUGAGUUGUGGACGAUACAAGUCAUACUGCCUACCAGCAUGUCAUACUUUGGUUUAGCGGUAUUGUUGGAUGAGAUGACCCGGACCAACCUUACGCGUACGCUUACGCGAGACCGGUUCCCUCGACGUGCUUUGCACACAGAUGGCUUGCGGGAGACAUCUCACCAACUUUAGUUGAACCAAGUGUGGCUACGCCCGGUCCUUGAGAAGGUUAAAACGGAGUCUAUUUGACAAACUAUCGUUGUGGUUUUGAUGCUUAGGUAAGAUGAGUUCUUGCUUUAGCCCGUAGCAGCCACGUAAAACUUGCAACAAACAAAGUAGAGGACGUCUAACUUGUUUUUGCAGGGCAUGUUGUGAUGUGAUAUGGUCAAGACAUGAUGCUAAAUUUUAUUGUAUGAGAUGAUCAUGUUUUGUAACCGAGUUAUCGGCAACUGGCAGGAGCCAUAUGGUUGUCGUUUUAUUGUAUGCAAUGCAAUCGCCCUGUAAUGCUUUACUUUAUCACUAAGCGGUAGCGAUAGUCGUAGAAGCAUAAGAUUGGCGAGACGACAACGAUGCUACGAUGGAGAUCAAGGUGUCGCGCCGGUGACGAUGGUGAUCAUAAUGGUGCUGCAGAGAUGGAGAUCAUGAAGCACAAGAUGAUGAUGACCAUAUCAUAUCACUUAUAUUGAUUUGCAUGUGAUGUUUAUCUUUUAUGCAUCUUAUUUUGCUUUGAUUGACGGUACCAUUAUAAGAUGAUCUCUCACUAAAUUAUCAAGAAGUGUUCUCCCCGAGUAUGCACCGUUGCCAAAGUUCGUCGUGCCCAGACACCACGUGAUGAUCGGGUGUGAUAAGCUCUACGUCCAUCUACAACGGGUGCAAGCCAGUUUUGCACACGCAGAAUACUCGGGUUAUACUUGACGAGCCUAGCAUAUGCAGAUAUGGCCUCGGAACACGAAGACCGAAAGGUCGAGCGUGAAUCAUAUAGUAGAUAUGAUCAACAUAAUGAUGUUCACCAUUGAGAACUAAUCCAUUUCACGUGAUGAUCGGUUAUGGUUUAUUUUGAUUUGGAUCACGUGAUCACUUAGAUGAUUAGAGGGAUAUCUAUCUAAGUGGGAGUUCAUAAGUAAUAUGAUUAAUUGAACUUAAAUUUGUCAUGAACUUAGUCCCUGAUAGUAUCUUGCUUAUGUUGAUUGUAGAUAGAUGGCUCGUGCUGUUGUUCCGUUGAAUUUUAAUGCGUUCCUUGAGAAAGCAAAGUUGAAAGAUGAUGGUAGCAAUUACACGGACUGGGUCCAUAACUUGAGGAUUAUCCUCAUUGCUGCACAGAAGAGUUACGUCCUGGAUGCACCGCUGGGUGCCAGGCCUGCUGCUGGAGCAACGCCAGAUGUUAUGAACGUCUGACAGAGCAAAGCUGAUGACUACUCGAUAGUUCAGUGUGCCAUGCUUUACGGCUUAGAACCGGGACUUCAACGUCGGUUUGAGAACCAUGGAGCAUAUGAGAUGUUCCAAGAGUUGAAGUUAAUAUUCCAACAGAAUGCCCGGAUUGAGAGAUAUGAAGUCUCCAAUAAGUUCUAUAGCUGCAAAAUGGAGGAGAAUGGGUCUGUCAGUGAGCACAUACUCAGAAUGUCUGGGUAUUACAAUCACUUGAGUCAGCUGGGAGUUAAUCUUCCGGAUGAUUGUGUCAUUGACAGAAUUCUUCAAUCACUGCCACCAAACUACAAAGGCUUCGUGAUGAACUAUAAUAUGCAAGGGUUAGUAAAGACUAUUCCCGAGCUCUUCGCAAUGCUAAAGGCUGCGGAGGUAGAAAUCAAGAAGGAGCAUCAAGUGUUGAUGGUCAAUAAGACCACUAGUUUCAAGAAGAAGGGCAAAGGGAAGAAGAAGGGGAACUUCAAGAAGAACAGCAAGCAAGUUGCUGCUCAGGAGAAGAAACCCAAGUCUGGACCUAAGCCUGAAACUGAGUGCUUCUACUGCAAGCAGACUGGUCACUGGAAGCGGAACUGCCCCAAGUAUUUGGCGGAUAAGAAGGAUGGCAAGGUGAACAAAGGUAUAUGUGAUAUACAUGUUAUUGAUGUGUACCUUACUAGAGCUCGCAGUAGCACCUGGGUAUUUGAUACUGGUUCUGUUGCUAAUAUUUGCAACUCGAAACAGGGACUACGGAUUAAGCGGACACUAGCAAAGGACGAGGUGACGAUGCGCGUGGGAAAUGGUUCCAAAGUCGAUGUGGUCGCGGUCAGCACGCUACCUCUACAUCUACCUUCGGGAUUAGUUUUAGACCUAAAUAAUUGUUAUUUGGUGCCAGCGUUGAGCAUGAACAUUAUAUCUGGAUCUUGUUUGAUGCGAUACGGUUAUUCAUUUAAAUCAGAGAAUAAUGGUUGUUCUAUUUAUAUGAGUAACAUCAUUUAUGGUCAUGCACCCUUGAAGAGUGGUCUAUUUUUGAUGAAUCUCGAUAGUAGUGAUACACAUAUUCAUAAUGUUGAAGCCAAAAGAUGCAGAGUUGAUAAUGAUAGUGCAACUUAUUUGUGGCACUGCCGUUUAGGUCAUAUCGGUAUAAAGCGCAUGAAGAAACUCCAUACUGAUGGACUUUUGGAGUCACUUGAUUAUGAAUCACUUGGCACUUGCGAACCGUGCCUCAUGGGCAAGAUGACUAAAACACCGUUCUCCGGUACUAUGGAGAGAGCAACAGAUUUGUUGGAAAUCAUACAUACGGAUGUAUGUGGUCCGAUGAAUGUUGAGGCUCGUGGCGGAUAUCGUUAUUUUCUCACCUUCACAGAUGAUUUGAGCAGAUAUGGGUGUAUCUACUUAACGAAACACAAGUCUGAAACAUUUGAAAAGUUCAAAGAAUUUCAGAGUGAAGUUGAAAAUCAUCGUAACAAGAAAAUAAAGUUUCUACGAUCUGAUCGUGGAGGAGAAUAUUUGAGUUACGAGUUUGGUCUACAUUUGAAACAAUGCGAAAUAGUUUCGCAACUCACGCCACCUGGAACACCACAGCGCAAUGGUGUGUCCGAACGUCGUAAUCGCACUUUACUAGAUAUGGUGCGAUCUAUGAUGUCUACCUCUAUCAUUUUGGGGUUAUGCUCUAGAGACGGCCACAUUCACGUUGAAUAGAACACCGUCAAAAUCCGUUGAGACGACACCUUAUGAACUGUGGUUUAGCAAGAAACUAAAGUUGUCGUUUCUUAAAGUUUGGGACUGCGAUGCUUAUGUGAAAAAGCUUCAACCUGAUAAGCUCGAACCCAAAUCGGAGAAAUGUGUCUUCAUAGGAUACCCAAAGGAGACAGUUGGCUACACCUUCUAUCACAGAUCCGAAGGCAAGACAUUUGUUGCUAAAAAUGGAUCCUUUCUAGAGAAGGAGUUUCUCUCGAAAGAAGCGAGUGGGAGGAAAGUAGAACUUGAAGAGGUAACUGUACCUUCUCCCUUAUUGGAAAGUAGCUUAUCUCAUAAACCGGUUUUUGAGACAUCUACACCAAGUAGUGAGGAAGUUGAUGAUGUUGAUCAUGAAGCUUCAGAUCAAGUUACUACAGAACCUCGUAGAUCAACCAGAGUAAGAUCCGCGCCAGAGUGGUACGGUAAUCCUGUUCUGGAAGUCAUGCUACUAGAUCAUGAUGAACCUACGAACUAUGAAGAAGCGAUGGUGAGCCCAGAUUCUGCAAAAUGGCUUGAAGCCAUGAAAUCUGAGAUGGGAUCCAUGUAUGAAAACAAAGUAUGGACUUUGGUUGACUUGCCCGAGGGUCGGCAAGCAAUAGAGAACAAGUGGAUCUUUAAGAAGAAGAUUGACGCUGACGGUAAUGUUACUGUCUACAAAGCUCGACUUGUCGCAAAGGGUUUCCGACAAGUUCAAGGGAUUGACUACGAUGAGACCUUCUCACCCGUAGCGAUGCUUAAGUCUGUCCGAAUCAUGUUAGCAGUUGCCGCAUUUUAUGAUUAUGAAAUUUGGCAAAUGGAUGUAAAAACUGCAUUCCUGAAUGGAUUUCUGGAAGAAGAGUUGUAUAUGAUGCAACCAGAAGGUUUUAUCAAUCCAAAGGGAGCUAACAAAGUGUGCAAGCUCCAGCGAUCCAUUUAUGGACUGGUGCAAGCAUCUCGGAGUUGGAAUAAACGCUUUGAUAGUGUGAUCAAAGCAUUUGGGUUUGUACAGACUUUUGGAGAAGGCUGUAUUUACAAGAAAGUGAGUGGGAGCUCUGUAGCAUUUCUGAUAUUAUAUGUGGAUGACAUAUUACUGAUCGGAAAUGAUAUAGAAUUUCUGGAUAGCAUAAAGGGAUACUUGAAUAAGAGUUUUUCAAUGAAGGACCUCGGUGAAGCUGCUUACAUAUUGGGCAUCAAGAUCUAUAGAGAUAGAUCAAGACGCUUAAUUGGACUUUCACAGAGCACAUACCUUGACAAAGUUUUGAAGAAGUUCAAAAUGGAUCAGGCAAAGAAAGGGUUCUUGCCUGUGUUACAAGGUGUGAAGUUGAGUAAGACUCAAUGCCCGACCACUGCAGAGGAUAGAGAGAAAAUGAAAGAUGUUCCCUAUGCUUCAGCCAUAGGCUCUAUCAUGUAUGCAAUGCUGUGUACCAGACCUGAUGUGUGCCUUGCUAUUAGCUUAGCAGGGAGGUACCAAAGUAAUCCAGGAGUGGAUCACUGGACAGCGGUCAAGAAUAUCCUGAAGUACCUGAAAAGGACUAAGGAGAUGUUUCUCGUAUAUGGAGGUGACAAAGAGCUCAUCGUAAGUGGUUACGUUGAUGCAAGCUUUGACACAGAUCCGGACGAUUCGAAAUCGCAAACCGGAUACGUAUUUACAUUAAACGGUGGAGCUGUCAGUUGGUGCAGUUCUAAACAAAGCGUCGUAGCGGGAUCUACAUGUGAAGCGGAGUACAUAGCAGCUUCGGAAGCAGCUAAUGAAGAAGUCUGGAUGAAGGAGUUCAUAUCCGAUCUAGGUGUCAUACCUAGCGCAUCGGGUCCAAUGAAAAUCUUUUGUGACAAUACUGGAGCAAUUGCCUUGGCGAAGGAAUCCAGAUUUCACAAGAGAACCAAGCACAUCAAGAGACGCUUCAAUUCCAUCCGGGACUUGGUCCAGGUGGGAGACAUAGAGAUUUGCAAGAUACAUACGGAUCUGAAUGUAGCAGACCCGUUGACUAAACCUCUUCCACGGGCAAAACAUGAUCAGCACCAAAACUCCAUGGGUGUUAGAAUCAUUACUGUGUAAUCUAGAUUAUUGACUCUAGUGCAAGUGGGAGACUGAAGGAAAUAUGCCCUAGAGGCAAUAAUAAAGUUAUUAUUUAUUUCCUUAUUUCAUGAUAAAUGUUUAUUAUUCAUGCUAGAAUUGUAUUAACCGGAAACAUAAUACAUGUGUGAAUACAUAGACAAACAGAGUGUCACUAGUAUGCCUCUACUUGACUAGCACGUUAAUCAAAGAUGGUUAAGUUUCCUAACCAUAGACAAAGGAGUUUUCAUUUGAUUAACGAGGUCACAUCAUUGGUUGAAUGAUCUGAUUGACAUGACCCAUUCCAUUAGCUUAGCACCCGAUCGUUUAGUGUGUUGCUAUUGCUUUUAUCCAUGACUUAUACAUGUUCCUAUGACUAUGAGAUUAUGCAACUCCCGUCUGCCGGAGGAACACUUUGGGUGCUACCAAACGUCACAACGUAACUGGGUGAUUAUAAAGGAGUACUACAGGUGUCUUCAAAGGUAGAUGUUGGGUUGGCGUAUUUCGAGAUUAGGAUUUGUCACUCCGAUAGUCGGAGAGGUAUCUCUGGGCCCUCUCGGUAAUGCACAUCACAUAAGCCUUGCAAGCACUGCAACUAAUGAGUUAGUUGUGAGAUGAUGUAUUACGGAACGAGUAAAGAGACUUACCGGUAAUGAGAUUGAACUAGGUAUUGGAUACCGACGAUCGAAUCUCGGGUAAGUAACAUACCGAUGACAAAGGGAACAAACGUAUGUUGUUAUGCGGUCUGACCGAUAAAGAUCUUCGUAGAAUAUGUAGGAACCAAUAUGGGCAUCCAGGUCCCGCUAUUGGUUAUUGACCGGAGACAUGUCUCGGUCAUGUCUACAUUGUUCUCGAACCGUAGGGUCCGCACGCUUAAGGUUUCGAUGACGGUUAUUAUGAGUUUAUGUAUUUUGAUGUACCGAAGGAGUUCGGAGUCCCGGAUGUGAUCACGGACAUGACGAGGAGUCUCGAAAUGGUCGAGACAUAAAGAUUGAUAUAUUGGAC